ACCCGCUGAACUUAAGCAUAUCAAUAAGCGGAGGAAAAGAAACCAACAGGGAUUGCCUCAGUAACGGCGAGUGAAGCGGCAAAAGCUCAAAUUUGAAAUCUGGCUCUUUCAGGGUCCGAGUUGUAAUUUGUAGAAGAUGCUUUGGGUGUGGCUCUGGUUUAAGUUCUUUGGAAUAUUACAUCAUAGAGGGUGAGAAUCCCGUAUGUGACCAGUCGCCGCGCCCGUGUAAAGCUCUUUCAACGAGUCGAGUUGUUUGGGAAUGCAGCUCAAAAUGGGAGGUAUAUUUCUUCUAAAGCUAAAUAUUGGCCAGAGACCGAUAGCGCACAAGUAGAGUGAUCGAAAGAUGAAAAGCACUUUGGAAAGAGAGUUAAACAGUACGUGAAAUUGUUGAAAGGGAAGCGCUUGCAACCAGACUUGCACGCAGUUGAUCAUCCGGUGUUCUCACCGGGGCACUCUGCUGCGUUCAGGCCAGCAUCGUUUUUGGUGGUUGGAUAAAGGCCUUGGGAAUGUAGCUUCUUUCGGGGAGUGUUAUAGCCCUUGGUGCAAUGCAGCCUACCGGGAACGAGGACCGCGCUUCGGCUAGGAUGCUGGCGUAAUGGUUGUAAGCGGCCCGUCUUGAAACACGGACCAAGGAGUCUAACAUCUAUGCGAGUGUUUGGGUGUCAAACCCAUACGCGUAAUGAAAGUGAACGGAGGUGAGAACCCUUAAGGGUGCAUCAUCGACCGGUCCUGAUGUCUUCGGAUGGAUCUGAGUAAGAGCAUAGCUGUUGGGACCCGAAAGAUGGUGAACUAUGCGUGAAUAGGGUGAAGCCAGAGGAAACUCUGGUGGAGGCUCGCAGCGGUUCUGACGUGCAAAUCGAUCGUCAAA
rnacentral:rRNA from 1 species